GACGCGCAGGCUUUUGUGGCGCAGUCGCCCCGGCCCGCGGCCCGCGGCCGAGCAGCCCGGCCUCCGUGAGCGACCAGGAGAGGACCCCUCCCGCUUGCACGUACUCCUAACACCCACUCCAGCUAGCUCCCCACCAGCCACCUUCCUCACCCCCCCGACCCCAAAGCGGCCACCACCCUGCACCCCAGCUCUGUCCGCAAGGACCAGGCAGAAGCCGCCCUAGAUCGAGCAGGACUGACUUGGGGGGCGAAUGGUCCGUGCCCACUACCCACCACCGAGAGGCCGGCCCAGCGUGUCCCCGCGGGACAGGAUUCACGCGCCUUCUAUGCAAACUGCCAGCAGGGCCCUGAGGUGAGCUUUCUGCCCAAAAGUCCAUAGCGGAGACCCGGUGUCAGGAUUUCCGCUGUUGUGACAUUGAACACACGCCGCCAGUGCUUAACCAGGGAAGAUACUACCCCCAAAAGGUUUUACUUUAUUUUGCUUUAAAUACUCAUCUUUCGGAUUUGUGCUGUAAAACACUCGGGGGAGCGACUGGCAUGGGACAGACAUCCUCUGGCACGACGUAAAGACUCCCUGGCACUCAGGAAAGGACGAGAGCGCGACGGGCUUCUGUCACGAACGAGUUCGGCAGCACAGUUCAGGUAACUCGCGGCUCGGGAGGCGCCACGGGGGUCCCAGAGGCGAGAGCUUUGCAACACGCCCCUGGGACCCCAGGCCCCAACCCUCUCCACUCCCCAUCCCCCACGCCUUCCCCACCAGGGGAAGGCGGAAGCAGGGCUUCUGGCGGCCCUACCCGAGGGGCGUCACCGCUGGGGGGCGCUAAGCGCGACCACAGGGGGUCGGUGUAUGCGCGCCGGGCUGGGACCUCUACCUAACAGGUGCCUCUGCCCCUGGGGCCGUUUUGGCGGGGGACCUGUCGGGUGGGGGCUCCAGUCUGCAGCCCGCCUUCCGCCACACCUCGCCGCCCCCAGUCCUGUUGGUUCUGCAACUCCAGGAACCGCCUCCGGGGUCGGUCCAGUUGCGGGCGCGCGGGCGCGGGGCAAGGUUGCAGCGCCGCCGGGACCACCAGGCCCUGCUCCGGCCUGGCUGCCCGCGGAACCUUCAAGGCACGAGUUAAAACCGGAAGAAAAGAGAGGAGAAGCCCGAGCAGCCCCGUGGAGCAUGCCGUAGACAGGGUCCGUGGCAUUUCUGGUCUUCCUAGGAGGGAAUUAGGCCAGGAAGAGGCCGUAAAGGAGAGGUGCACGCGCUGGGUGACAAACAACGGAUCAGAUUGCAGGCUCUUGGAUUCGCUUCCAGCUAGAUGGUUUCAGUGAAAAAAUCAGGUCUACUGUUUAUCUCCAGGGAUGACUGGCCUCGAGUAUUUCCAUUUCUAAAGACCAGCUCCUCCUGUGGUUUCAUUAGCAUUUGGGGCUGCUCGCUCCUACACCCUCCCUCCCUCUCCCUCGACCCCCCUGGGCCUGAUCUCUGCCAGGGGCGGAAAAGAAAACAGCGAAUUAUUACAAAAACAUCCCCAGUUUGGAGCAGGAGCGUAUGCUCCGGGUACCCUCGAUUUUGACAUCAAUUAAGUAUAUAACCAGACAAGUGCACGUGGCUUUGGAGGGUCUCGCGUCGCCCAGGGUGCAUCUCCAGAAAGACUGUCUCCUCUUCCCUCUCUUUAGCUCAGCGCUGCUGUGAAGACAGACUCUUUCCUGGGCCUAUUUUCCUCUCAGCAAUUACACUCCACUGAAAUCUAAAUUUUCCGUAUUGCUGCCUGCUACUAAUAAAAACCGUCUACCUUGCACUAUUAAACAGUCGAAUCGCACUACAUGCCGUUUUUAUUGGUAGUGACUGUAGCAAAUUAAAAUGCCUACGCAGACAUUAAAACUUACGCUCUGCGUUGUUAUUGGAAAAAUAUAAACUCCGUUUCGCUAUAAGCUCUCUGAGUCUUAAAAAUUACCAUUACUUUUCUUAAAGUUGGCUUGGUAUUCUUUAAAAUAAAAUCAAUCUAAAAAACACGCUGCCAGAGUCGAGGCUGGGCGCGCGGGGGGAUGGCCCGGAUUCGCGGGAACUCCGUGUCGGAUCAGCGCCGGGGGCUCAGGCCGCGCGGGCCGCGCUCGGUGCGUCCGGGCCCCACAGCCGCCUCCCGGGAGAGCAGAUCAGCCUGCUGGCUUGCGGCCAGGCGGGGCGUUAGGGUCUGUGGAGCCGCCUGGGGCUGGCCGGGCACUUGGCUUCUGUUGCUUUGCAGCUGCCCUCCGAGUGGGAAUGGAAGAGAAUGAGCAGGGGAAACGGCAGAUCUGCUGGGAACGCACGGGCACUUGUACACUUACCUGGCGGUGGGCAGUUUCAGGUUUGCGGGGAGUCUCCCCCUCCGCAAGUGUGCAUUUUAAAAACAUACGAGUUAACAUGACAGUUCUGUUUCUUGUCUCAACAGCAGCCGAUGCACGGAGAACAAUCCGGCGUGGACAUACACGUUUUAAGCAGCCAGGGUCUCCUGCUGGGAAGGCUGGGAACGCGGGCCCGGCCCCAGGGUCUUCGCCUAGGGCGCGGCGGGCUGCGUGGACCGAGCGACGCGCUCUCCCGGCACAGUCCGUCCUGGGGCUGCAGGGCCGCCGACCCGAAGUCGUGCGGGCUGCGAGGGGGCGCUGUGGCCCGCGGCUGCGGCCUCGUCCGGGCUGCGGUGGCCGCUGUCCCUGGCCACCGGCGGGCGGCGGGCGCCCCUGCCUUGACUCAACCCACCCUUUCCCAAGUCGGCUUAUUCGAGGAAGUACAAAAAUUAUACUUGGGCAUUUGAAUAAAACCUACGCCGGUCUUAACCUUU